AAAAAACAAAAAAAACAGCAAAACAAAUACAUAUACUGCUACACAGCGCGCCACCAAACUAAUUAUUGUAUAUUCGCUAGUUCUGUUUUUAAACAUUAUACAAUUAUUUUUUUGGGCAUACUGGUUGCAUGUUAUGUAUUUGAAAAAAAAAAAAAAAUUAUUUUAAA
rnacentral:misc_RNA from 1 species